rnacentral:rRNA from 1 species
GUGGGGAAUAUUGGACAAUGGGCGCAAGCCUGAUCCAGCCAUGCCGCGUGAGUGAUGAAGGCCUUAGGGUUGUAAAGCUCUUUCAGUGGGGACGAUAAUGACGGUACCCACAGAAGAAGCCCCGGCUAACUUCGUGCCAGCAGCCGCGGUAAUACGAAGGGGGCUAGCGUUGUUCGGAUUUACUGGGCGUAAAGCGCACGUAGGCGGAUCGUUAAGUCGGGGGUGAAAUCCUGGAGCUCAACUCCAGAACUGCCUUCGAUACUGGCGAUCUUGAGUGCGGAAGAAGUGAGUGGAACUCCUAGUGUAGAGGUGGAAUUCGUAGAUAUUAGGAAGAACACCAGUGGCGAAGGCGGCUCACUGGUCCGGUACUGACGCUGAGGUGCGAAAGCGUGGGGAGCAAACAGGAUUAGAAACCCGGGUAGUCC